AGUGUCACCUGACGUCCAACAGAUGUCCCUGUUUAAUCACUGUUUAAUCCCGGUUCAUCGGCCUGCCCGACGCGUUUAGAGGCGCCUCAGUGAGCUUGCGUGUACCUUUUUGAUAACAGGUGUUGCAGACGACGUGGCCGCAGGUUGUGACGGCCAGGUGUGUGUCCGCCCCGGGGCACCGGAAGCAGGAGUUGCAGCGGACCCAGUCUCACCAGCCUCGCUCCAGCAAAGACGGCAAACCUCGUGGAGUUGGUUUGGAAGCAAAGGUGGUGCUGACCAGAGGCGUGAGCUGUGAAGGCCCGUGGAAGAGGAGAAGGAAGGGAUGGCUUUGUGGUCCUGGCCUGACGACGUCAGUUCCCCUGUGAGUUCAGUACCUCCGCGUUUGGGUCUCUGACGGUCACAGUGACGCC